AAUUCAGAGACAGACUUUCAUGGCAGCUUGUUGGAAAUACGAUCUCGUAUUUUACGAAAAUAGUUCACUGAAAUGUGUUUCUGAAAACAUUUUAAGCGAGAAAUAGGCCGUGCAGUUGCUGAAUCUGUCUUCA